UACGUAGGGUGCAAGCGUUGUCCGGAAUUACUGGGCGUAAAGGGCGCGUAGGCGGCCUUCUAAGUCGAACGUGAAAUCCCCGGGCUCAACCCGGGAACCGCGUCCAAUACUGGGAGGCUUGAAUCCGGGAGAGGGAUGUGGAAUUCCAGGUGUAGCGGUGAAAUGCGUAGAUAUCUGGAGGAACACCGGUGGCGAAGGCGGCAUCCUGGACCGGUAUUGACGCUGAGGCGCGAAAGCCAGGGGAGCAAACGGG
rnacentral:rRNA from 1 species